AUCUUAAACAGGAAUUAUAACAUAAAAUUAGAUUAGAUAUACUUCAACAAGUUUAUCUCUAACAAUAAAUAUAUACAAAUUCUGAAACGAAGCACCCUGCAAUUUUCAGCCAGUGCUUAAAGUAAUUACACAUUCUGUGGUGAUAACACAUUUCGUUUUUUUAUUGUGCCACAAGCUGGUGAGGCACCUCUACCGCGCAUGUUAAUGCUAAUUAGCAGAUAAAGUGGAAAUCUGAGGGAGCCUCGAAUUCUGUUGCUUUGCCAGUUUUCUCCUGAUUGGAAAUCGCAGGCUGAAUUUCCUCUCAUUCUGACUUGGCCUAUUCAGGCAUCGCCUGAGCUGUCUUUCUUCAGUGCAUUUUAAUCCAUCAGAUCUGUUCCCCGUUGAAUGCCUCCCUGUUUGUUUUUAAUUCAGCAGACUCAAACAGUUUCCCUAUAACUGCCUUUUAUAAUCAAUCAUAGGAGAAUUUCGACGCUGCAGAACAAUAGGUGGGGAUGACAUGUUUACGCCACGCUCCCUCAUCCCUGUCGAGGAGGUGUUUUUGUUUAGCUGCUAAUAAAGUGGCAUUUUGAAAUAUGUUCCUGAACUGAGAGGGAGGGCGGGAGACUCAGGAGCUUUGUUUCCACUGAUGCAUCCGGAGUCUUUGGUCUGGGGGAAGGUGCCCCUUGACUCCGGUUACUGUGAGCCUUGGGAGGGAUGAGAAUGUUUGAGAAGGACUGUGUGUUCUGGGGCUCCAGAGUUCAAGUUCAAGAAUGACUUAUCCGUUGAGUCUAUGUGAAACAUCAGGCGCAUUCCAUGAUCCCUUUGCCUCCCGACUCUACCUUUGAAGUCAGUGGGAGAUCCUUUAGGAGGAGUUUUUGCUUUGAGCUGUUGUGCUUGAUUUAAUUUAAAUGACAUUCUGGCCUACAGCAAAUACCUUUGGGUUUCCUAAAUGAGGAUGUGCUCAUCAAGGCCCUUCCACGUUUUUUCCCCUUUCCACCUGCCUUUAUGAUUUCUACCUCUAUGUCCAUUAGCCAACAAAAAACUCUCCCCUUUCCUCCUCACCACAUGUGUGUCCUCAGCUCUGUACACGUUUGCUGAAUGCUUACUGAAUUCUUGACUGACCAUGUGUGAACCACCAGGGCCCCAACCUAAUUCAUCAGCUAGGUGUGGAGAAGAAUCAAAAAGCCUAGAAGAAAAAGUGAGUGGUUCAGGAAUGUUUGGAAUUUGUGUGUGUGUGUGUGUGUGUGUGUGUGUGUGUGUGUGAGAGAGAGAGAGAGAGAAAGCGCAUUGCCUCCUUUCUCAUGUCUUGAUAGCAAUGAGUGAGGGUUACCAAAAUGGUAUGUAUGCUCAAAAACUUAACUAUGAGAUUAAAUAUUUAUUCAUAAUAAUAAAAGUGAUUUUGUUGUACCGUGAUGUUUAUAUUAGUCACAUCAGGCUGCCAUAACAAAAUAGCAUAGGCUGAGUGCCUUAAACAACAGAAAUUAAUUUUCUCAUAGUUCUGGAGCCUGGGAAAUCCAAAGUCAAAGUGCCUGCAGAUUCAGUGUUUGGUGAGUUCUCUCUUUUCUAACUGCCUUUUGGCUAUGUCCUCCCAUGACAGAGAGUGGGCAGAGAGAAUGGGAGCAUGCCCUCCCUCUCUCUCUCUCUCUCUCUCUCUCUCUCUCUCUCUCUUUCUGUCUAUAGACACUAAUCCUAUCUGAUCAGGGCCCCACCCUCAUGAUCUCCUUUAACCCUAAAUACCUUCAGAAAAGCCCAAUUCCAAAUACAGUCAUAUUAGGGGUUGGGACAUCAACAUAUAAAUUUUGGAGGGCAUGCAAAUGUUCAGUUCAAAACAAUGUUUCCUUAAGCAUGAAAGGCACAGAGGAACAGAGGCAGUGAUGCAGAUCCUGAAUACAAAAAAUUCAUUUUUCUGGACAUGUGAGGUGGUGUUUAAUUGCAUAACGUUAUGUUUCUACUUUUAUUAAAUUUUAAAAGAAAUAAAUAACAUUGCAUUUUGUCUUUAAUAAAGUUCUAGUGUCCAUUAGAAAAGAUUUUGAAAAUAUAGUUAAGAAAAAGAAGAAAAAAA
ensembl:lncRNA